rnacentral:rRNA from 1 species
GACGAACGCUGGCGGCGUGCUUAACACAUGCAAGUCGAACGAUGAAGCCGGAGCUUGCUCUGGUGAAUUAGUGGCGAACGGGUGAGUAACACGUGAGUAACCUGCCCUUGACUCUGGGAUAACUGCGGGAAACUGUAGCUAAUACCGGAUACGACCCUCGGAGGCAUCUCCUGGGGGUGGAAAGAAUUUCGGUCAAGGAUGGACUCGCGGCCUAUCAGCUAGUUGGUGAGGUAAAGGCUCACCAAGGCGACGACGGGUAGCCGGCCUGAGAGGGUGGCCGGCCACACUGGGACUGAGACACGGCCCAGACUCCUACGGGAGGCAGCAGUGGGGAAUAUUGCACAAUGGGCGCAAGCCUGAUGCAGCAACGCCGCGUGAGGGAUGACGGCCUUCGGGUUGUAAACCUCUUUUAGCAGGGAAGAAGCGAAAGUGACGGUACCUGCAGAAAAAGCACCGGUUAACUACGUGCCAGCAGCCGCCGUAA